AUUGAACGCUGGCGGCAGGCCUAACACAUGCAAGUCGAGCGGAUGAAGGGAGCUUGCUCCUGGAUUCAGCGGCGGACGGGUGAGUAAUGCCUAGGAAUCUGCCUGGUAGUGGGGGAUAACGUCCGGAAACGGGCGCUAAUACCGCAUACGUCCUGAGGGAGAAAGUGGGGGAUCUUCGGACCUCACGCUAUCAGAUGAGCCUAGGUCGGAUUAGCUAGUUGGUGGGGUAAAGGCCUACCAAGGCGACGAUCCGUAACUGGUCUGAGAGGAUGAUCAGUCACACUGGAACUGAGACACGGUCCAGACUCCUACGGGAAGCAGCAGUGGGGAAUAUUGGACAAUGGGCGAAAGCCUGAUCCAGCCAUGCCGCGUGUGUGAAGAAGGUCUUCGGAUUGUAAAGCACUUUAAGUUGGGGGGAAGGGCAGUAAGUUAAUACCUUGCUGUUUUGACGUUACCAACAGAAUAAGCACCGGCUAACUUCGUG
rnacentral:rRNA from 1 species